GAUGAACGCUGGAGGCGUGCCUAAUACAUGCAAGUCGAGCGAAGCGGGGACGGGUGCGUAACACGUGGAUAACCUCAUAUAAGACUGGGAUCACUUCGGUACACCGGAGCGAAACCGGCUACUUAUAGAUGGAUCAGCGCUGCAUUAGCUAGUUGGUAAGGUAACGGCUUACCAGGGCAACGAUGCAUAGCCGACCUGAGAGUGUGAUCGGCCACACUGGAACUGAGACACGGUCCAGACUCCUACGGGAGGCAGCAGUAGGUAAUCUUCAGCAAGGGGCGAAAGCCUGACGGAGCAACGCCGCGUGAGUGAUGAAGGUCUUCGGAUCGUAAAACUCUGUUAUUAGAGAAGCGGUAACUAACCAGAAAGCCACGGCUAACUACGUGCCAGCAGCCGCGGUAAUAC
rnacentral:rRNA from 1 species